UCAAACAUUUAUUUUGAUUUGUUUAACACUUUUUGGGUCUUCAUCCGCAGCUACCUGGCCUCCCGCAAGGAGGAGCGCAUCGACGUGCUGCAGCUGGCCCAAGACCCCUUCCUCAUGCCCCGGUCACCGGACCUGGUCCGUUGGCAUCGGGCUCCACGCCCUCCACCUCCAGCGCAUACAACAGCAGUGCCUAGAACUGAGGCGCCCAACGCCAACACAGAGGGCCCCUGUAGGGGCCACAUUACUGAAACGCCCUCCCUUCUGGAUAGGGGAAGGAGGAUGGAGGGGGUAAAAACAGACUAAAGGAUGGAGGAGGAUUAUCUGAAGUGACCGCCCUAUCCCCACCCCUCCUAAGACGUGAAGGGGAAAUGCCCAUCUUUGGCUUGUCUGUAGGACCCAAUGGCUGCCCACAUACAUGUGUACACACACACCCCUGCCACAAAGAAGAGAAAGACCUUGCUUGGCCUGUCCAGUGGGCUGCAUCACAGGGUCAUAGGAAAACGGACUGAAGUCACAGUGUGUUGUGUUGUGUGUGUGUGCGUGCAUACCUGUUUUCGGGAAAACCAAACAGCUCAAAUCAAAUUGUAUUUGUCACAUAUGUGUUUAGCAGAUGUUACUGUGGGUGUAGCGAAAUGCUUGUAAGCUAGAAGCAUGGCAGCCCAGUCUGUCAGGACCAUUUUCCAACAUAACCAUUCCAUUUGAUGUUUUGAGAGAAAGUUAAAAAAAAAAUUCUUGCUUGAGUUGAAUCAUAAGUUGAACUCUAUAUAUUUCCCAAUAAUAUAAUCAAUUGCCACCCCCCCUUCUGAAAGGGCUCAAAUGAAGGGGGAGUUUCUAUUUUUGAUGACCAAAGUUGAAGGCAUGCCUGGCUGAUGCAACACUGUUACGUUUUAUACACGUCUAACUGUCAAGUGAAAGAAAGUCAUUUCCACUAAGAUCAUCACUUUUGACUGAUUUGAUCAGAUAUAAAUAUUUUCUUGGAUAUUGGACUGGGAGUUUACUUUGUUACUUGGAUGGUUGUCCAUAUGUUUUCAUGAGGCUUUCCCCCAAAAUGGAGAGGGAGAGCAACUUAAUAGAAAUGCAUAUAAACCAUUUAACAGACUUUUGUUAUGACUAUGUGGUUUGUUAGCAAGGAGUUAUGUCAAAGAUAAUUCUCAUUCAUUGCAAAUUGUGCAGUAUAACAAUCUGAAUUCCAACAUGACUUACACAAUAGCAAAGUUAUUUUAGUAUAUUGUGAAACAUGAUUACACACUCGAGAAUAGAUGCGUUGUUUACCAGAGAAAAGCAGAAUAGCCUAACUGGUAAUACUCAAAU
ensembl:lncRNA